rnacentral:rRNA from 1 species
GACGGAGGGUGCUAGCGUUGUUCGGAAUCACUGGGCGUAAAGGGCGCGUAGGCGGCCUUGCAAGUCGGUUGGUGAAAGCCCGGGGCUCAACCCCGGAGGUGCGGCCGAGACUGCAGGGCUGGAGGCCGGAAGAGGAGGGUGGAAUACCCAGUGUAGAGGUGAAAUUCGUAGAUAUUGGGUGGAACACCGGUGGCGAAGGCGGGUCUCUGGGCAGUAACUGACGCUGAGGAGCGAAAGCGUGGGGAGCGAACAGG